rnacentral:rRNA from 1 species
GACGUAGGGCGCGAGCGUUGUCCGGAUUUAUUGGGCGUAAAGAGCUCGUAGGCGGCUCGUUGCGUCGGCUGUGAAAACCCGCAGCUCAACUGUGGGCUUGCAGCUGAUACGGGCGGGCUGGGAUUCGGUAGGGGAGACUGGAAUUCCUGGUGUAGCGGUGAAAUGCGCAGAUAUCAGGAGGAACACCGGUGGCGAAGGCGGGUCUCUGGGCCGAUAUCGACGCUGAGGAGCGAAAGCGUGGGUAGCAAACAGG